UACGAAGGGUGCAAGCGUUAAUCAGAAUUACUGGGCGUAAAGCGCGCGUAGGUGGUUCAGUAAGUUGGAAGUGAAAUCCCCGGGCUCAACCUGGGAACUGCUUUCAAAACUGCUGAGCUAGAGUACGGUAGAGGGUGGUGGAAUUUCCUGUGUAGCGGUGAAAUGCGUAGAUAUAGGAAGGAACACCAGUGGCGAAGGCGACCACCUGGACUGAUACUGACACUGAGGUGCGAAAGCGUGGGGAGCAAACAGG
rnacentral:rRNA from 1 species